GGCCUGGUAGUUCAGUUGGUUAGAAUGCCAUCCUGUCACGCUGGAGGUCGGUGGUUCGUGCCACUUCCAGGUCGGCA
rnacentral:tRNA from 1 species